UACGUAGGGGGCAAGCGUUGUCCGGAUUUAUUGGGCGUAAAGAGCGUGUAGGCGGCCAGACAGGUCCGUUGUGAAAACUCGAGGCUCAACCUCGAGACGCCGAUGGAAACCGUCUGGCUAGAGUCCGGAAGAGGAGAGUGGAAUUCCUGGUGUAGCGGUGAAAUGCGCAGAUAUCAGGAAGAACACCCGUGGCUAAGGCGGCUCUCUGGGCCUGUCCUGACGCUGAGGCGCGAAAGCUAGGGGAGCGAACAGG
rnacentral:rRNA from 1 species